UACGUAGGGUGCAAGCGUUAUCCGGAAUUAUUGGGCGUAAAGAGCUCGUAGGCGGUUCGUCGCGUCUGCUGUGAAAACUGGGGGCUCAACCCCCAGCCUGCAGUGGGUACGGGCAGACUAGAGUGCGGUAGGGGAGAUUGGAAUUCCUGGUGUAGCGGUGGAAUGCGCAGAUAUCAGGAGGAACACCGGUGGCGAAGGCGGGUCUCUGGGCCGAUAUUGACGCUGAGGAGCGAAAGCGUGGGGAGCGAACAGG
rnacentral:rRNA from 1 species